CAGAGACCGGGACCUGAUACUCUGGGAGUGAUCCUGAUCAGUGCCCGUCGACGUAAAUAAAUCUGCCUCCAGAUCGUGGAUGUCGUUUUGGUGCUUCUGCUCACUGUCUGCAGUUUGGAAAAGGAAUUCACACCAUUUCCCAGCAAACUCCCAAGCUGCUAUUCCCAGGAGACUUCUUGAGAAGGACCCACUGCCUCCAACUGGACUGCUCUGGGGUCAGAAACCCUUCCCUAUUUCCAAGUCUGGGACCCACAGACAUUCCACCAUGUAGACACAGAGGACAGGCUUAUGGGAUCAGAGCUGGAAGAAUCCCAGUGGCCAUCUACUGGGUCAGCAGUAGAAGAACCCAAGAUGGCACCCUGGAGUGCAAAGGGAUCCAGUGGCAGUCAAAGGACGAAGGCCUAGAAACCCACUGCAGCCAUCAGUUGCGAUUUUACGUACAUGUUGAAGUCCCUUAGCUGCAAGGCCCUCAUUGUCUGCGACGUUUGUGAAAAGGCUCCCCCCGUGGAUGGUCUCUGAAACGGAUCAUUGUAUGGCCGGGGCCCAAGAGGCAUGAAAGAAUUGCAGGGCGGUGAAGAAGCUGCUAGCAGAAACCACCAGUAUGUGACAGCCAUAACCACACCAGACGCCUGCCGCAGCCCUGCAACAGGUGCCCUCCCCGGCGGCAGCCUGCAGCGACACCUAUGCGAACCUUCCCUGCGUCCUCCCAGGUGGGAAAUUGGUUUUGGAGCCUGGGCCACAGUAUGAGAGCGCAAAUGAGGAAGCUCUGCAGAGGCUGUGGGUGUGAACAGAUUAACAGCCAUUUGGAAUAAUGAUCACUCCAGCUCCUUUUCAAACCUCUCUCACCUUGGAGCAAGAACAACUGACAUGGAGUGACGGACAGGAGAGGAAUUUUACUUGUAGAAAGCAGUCCUGGCGCCACAAAUACUUACUUAUUAAAAGCGAGAAAAUGCUAAUA